GCAAAGACGAAGGACUUGACGCAAAAAUUUACCAUCCGAAACACCAAGGCGCGGAUCCAGCCUAUGGAUCGGGCUUGCGCGCGAGUCUUCCCCCCCUCUACACCGCACCGUUUUAGUUUGCAAUCAAAAUUAAAGAAAAAAAUAGAAUGGCAACCUGCCAUUUUCACAAAAAACAAAUCAGAUCCCUAAUGUUAGGGCUUCAACUUGGAGACACCGCUGAACCACCAUCAAACUUGGUGGCCGACCAUGCGCAGAAGAAACACAAGCAGAGGCUAGAGGUGUGGAGGCCGUGGUGCUGCUAACAUGGCCAGGCCGUUCGUGGGCGUGUUGAUGCGGAGCGUGAAGCAACGUCGCGCGUGGAAGCUGGCACGAAGGCAGCAGCGGCACAAGGGGGAAAGGGAUCCCUAGGGUUCUGAAAAUAUUAAACUUUGGGCCUGGGCUAGUUUUUUUUGUUAUUGGGUCAUUUAAUUUGUAUUUUGGGCCUUGUUAUUUUGAAUUUUGGGUUUGGAUAUUAUUAUGGAUAUUGGACUUUAAUUUUGGUUUUUUUA